rnacentral:rRNA from 1 species
ACGAACGCUUGCGGCGUGCCUAAGAAAUGCAAGUCGAGCGAGCUCAAGCCUUCGGGCUGAAAGCUAGCGGCGAACGGUCGAGUAACACGUGAGCAACCUGCCCCAAAGCGGGGGAUAGCCCACCGAAAGGUGGAUUAAUACCGCAUGUGAUCCGCACCUGGCAUCUGGUGUUGAUUAAAGCAGCAAUGCGCUUUGGGAUGGGCUCGCGGCCUAUCAGUUUGUUGGUGGGGUGAUGGCCUACCAAGACGACGACGGGUAGCUGGUCUGAGAGGAUGGUCAGCCGGAUUGGGACUGAGAUACGGCCCAGACUCCUACGGGGGGCAGCAAUUAGGAAUCUUGCGCAAUGGGCGAAAGCCUGACGCAGCGACGCCGCGUGACCGACGAAGUCCUUCGGGAUGUAAAGGUCUUUUGCCGGGGAAGAAUAAAGUGACGGUACCCGGCGAAUAAGCUCCGGCUAACUACGU